CUGCCCUGAUUUCCCUCUGGUCUGGUGCACUUCAUUAGGAUGUCUUCCUACGAUAGUUAUGGAGAAAUAUUUCAAAAAGCUUCUGAGAAAUAUACAUUUCCAUUUUAAAGGCUGUAUUUUAAUAUUAUUCUCAUUAGGGCAGACAUGACUGCAACGUUCUGUGAUUGAUAUUGAUCCAGGGUCUCUCCUCAGGAGGAGAGAAGCUCAGAGAAGCUGUGCCUUGAGGUCUGACCCAGUAUGGACAAUCUUGCUCCACAUUCCCCACCCCCAUCCUCUCUGUCCUCACUCACCUGGGACCUGCUUUGCUUGGACAAUGGGUUUGUCACGAAAAGUGGGGUUUUUCCGUUUUUUUUUUUCAGGAAUCCAAAACUCCUAAUCUUCCCCACUGCAAACAGACACACUCCUCAGGCGUGUGCCAGCCCAAGGUGCCACCCAGCAGGUUCAGCGCCGGGGAUCGGCGCUUCGGGCAGGGUGCCCAGAGCCAGCGCCAUCUUUCCUUUGUGUCUCUAUCUGCCGUCAUGCCCCGCUGCCCAAUGGAGCCUCACGGGAGCGGGAACUACAACACCCGUCAUGCCCCGUGCUCCAUAGAACCCUGGUAUUCCCCCCCGUAUAUCCAAUAGAUGUCCUCCAGAAACUCCAGGGUCCCUAAGUGUCCCCUCAGCGGCCAUUUGGGAACCUCCCAGAAACGUCCCUGAAUCCCCUGAAUGCUCCCAAGCCCACAGAUGCCCGUUACAGGCACUUCUGGGAAUUCAUCUCUUGCCAUCCCCCGUGAGCUCAGAGCACCUCAUAACACAGUCUCAUGCGUAAAACUCCUGCUGUGCCCCAUGCCCUAAAGAGCCUGGUUAGAGCUCCCCAAGCUCCCCCCAAGUGCUCCCGAAAUGUAUACAUUCCUCUCUGAGGACCUGAAGUUGCCAUUCAGAGGCAAAAUGUCCCCCAAGUGCCCUCCCAGACCCCACAAAAGCUCUGUUAGAAUCACUUCCGGGACUACAGCUCCCAUCACGCUCUGCGGUGCCAUAGAAUGCUAUUCCAGCCAUGACUUCAUCUCCCAUCAUGCCCUGCGCCAUACCGAGAGACAAUGCAGCUGCGCCUAGGAUUCCCAUGAUGCUCCAUGGCCCCAUUAAACUGUGUUAUACCCACGCCUACAACUCCCAUCAUCUCCCGCUCCACGAGAGCCCUGUUAGAGCCCCCCCAGUGCCCGCCCGGACCCCAGAGGGCCCCAGAUUCCCCUCCCUGUGCUCCAAGUGCUCCCCUGGACCCCCAAGUGCCACUUCAUAGCCCAGACAUUCCCUCAGGAUCCCCAAGUUCUUUCUUAGUGCCCACUCAAUGCCCCUAAGCGUCCUCCUGUCCCUCGAAAUUCUUCCCCCAGACCCAAAACUGCCCCGAAUGUGCCACAGAAAUGUUUCCCUGGACCCCAAAGUGCCCACCCUGAUCUGAAAAAAAGAUGAUAAAAAAGAUGAAAAAAAUGACUAAACAUUAUGAAUUAUCUUAAAGGGGGAGAAAUAAAUAAGCAAUAGAGCUUAAUUAAUGAAGGGAAUUGUGUUACUUAAAAGCAAUGACCAAUAAUUUUUUUGGUUGCUAAUUAUGUAUUUUUUAUUACAAAUAUAAAAAUUAGGUCAGAAAAUAUACAAUAGUAAUAUUACAAAUAAGGAAAAUAUAGUUUUAAAAUAAAAUAACAUUUUUAUUAUAAAGAGAAACUAAUGAGGUUUUUUCUAUUUUGGGUUGUCAGCACCAGGUGGGAGAUAUCAUGACAUGGUUAUGACGGGGGUGAGGAGCAGGUUGUCCAAACAGGGUCAGCCUGUUUGGGGCUCUUUCUUCAACGUGCCCAGAUCUCCUAAGGAGACAUUCUGCAUCAAGGUCACUUGGGAAAUGCUGUUUUCACUUUGCCUCUGAACUGAUAAAUAGAAAAACAUUCCCUUGAGUAAAAUAAAGUCAUGAGAUGCACUUUCAAAUCUUCACUUAAGAAAGCUCCAAACUGACUCCAAGCAUCUGCACAAGCCCUGGAGACUUGAAGACAAUUGAAGGAAGACAAAGAGCUCCUGGAAUCUUUCUGUAUUUUAGUGAUCCCCAUAGUUGUUAUAAAUGGAGUCUUCGAUUGCUCGAUUAAUCAAACAACAAAAUUAAAUUUAGCAGCAAUUUAUUAAUAAUAGCAGUAAUUGUAUAUAAAUGAAUACAAUCAAAGUAUAUUAGUUACAUAUAUUUAAGUAAAUACAGAAUUUGGCACUGAGUAUUUUGGUAUAAUUGAGGUUUGGUUCGAGUAAAGCAUGAGCAAAACCAACCAGGGGUACAGGUAGGGCCCUUCCUGUCACAACAUAUAAAAUCCCACUUAUAUACUGUUUGCUAAUGCAUAUUAAUACAGAAUGUUCUGGAAAGCUCCUCCUCGUUUCUAUUCCUAAAAUCUACGUCACUAUGUUUUGUUGUGCAUGCUCCGCCAGUGUUCGGGGGUCUCUCCUCCUUUUGGGGUCUUGUUUCCGAUGAAGGCUCUGGGUCUUCCUUAGUGUUCGCUGUUUGACCUCGCAGGUAAUGCAGGUGCACUGAGCUUAGGGUUAUAUAAUUAAAUAUAUGUUCCGAUAACAAGUCUUGUCCAAGUGGAUUCAUCCCAAUUUGGCUCAAUUAUAGGUCGAAAGUUUUAUUUCUAGAUUCUGUUCUUACACCUACAUCCUUACUAUCUUCACUCCGAACACCUGGAGGAUGAUUCCAUCUGC
rnacentral:lncRNA from 12 species